rnacentral:lncRNA from 1 species
UCCCGGCUUCUGUGUGUGGUAGAAUCACAACACUUGUAACAUACAUUGUUUUCUUUUAAAAGACCUUUGCGCUCCUCUAUUGACUUGGCUCGGAACGCUCGACAUUCAUUUAAGGAAUGCUUUGUAUUGUGCAGAAUACAAAGACCUUGUUUGCUGGCGUCUCCAGAUUGCUGCUCAACCGCUGUUUUAUGAGCACCAACUUUAGUCCUAGGGUAAGGCGUAGACCUUGGCGCAGCACCUUUUGUAUUUGGUGUGGCUUUUGACCCAAAGAUGAACCCAGGAUCGUUCUUUGUUUUGCUUAUUUCCCUGAUGUAGGCAGAGAAUUCUGUGAAAGGUGGAAAGGCAACGUCAUAUUUGGCCUUGUAUCUUGUAGCCCUUGUGGUCCACUUUUCUUGGAGUCCGUACGGUAAUUUUUCAACAAUAGGAUUUAUCCCGGACGAGGAGUCAAAAUAUGCUAGCAAACAUCCCAGCUUGGGAUUUUCCUUGUGAUAUUCUAUUUCUGAUAGAAUGUCAGACAGUUCGUAGAGACGUGCGUUGUCCUUAUUUGUUAAGGUAGGGAAUUUUGCAAGUUUACUCUUGAGAGAGGCUUCCAACAUUUCUGGAGCACCAUACCGCUCGUCAAGCCUCUUCCAUAAUCUUUGUAUACCUAUGGUAGGAUUAUUAGCGUUCGACGCUCUUAUGCUAAUGGCGUGUUUAGCAGACUCUGGACCGAGCCACUUGAUCAGUAAAUCGAUCUGUUCUGAGUCAGAGACUUGUAACUCAUCAGUCACGUUCUUGAAGCUUGCUUUCCAAGUAUGAAAGGACUCUGCCCGAUCGUUAAAGCUUGUUAAUCGGGAGAAAAGCAAGUCCUUGCGUAAAAGGAAUCUAGUUAUCUCUGAUGUAAGGUUGAUUUGUUGCUGGUGUGAAACAGGGAUCUCUUCUAUAAAGUCUUGUUUUGUGCGUAAGACAGGGAUCGCUUCUUUAACACCCUGUUUUUGAUGUUCAGUAGGGCUCUCAUCUGAAAGGCCUAGUUUUUGUAUGCCGGUUACUAAUCCCAGAUCUGGGAUAAAGGUAACUUCCGGUGACUUAUUAUUGGAAGGCAAGACAGCAGAUGUCUGUGACAGCAAGUUCGGUGCCACGGAUGGCACGAACGCUGGUGCGUCGUGACUCAGCUCG